rnacentral:misc_RNA from 1 species
GAUGAAGAACGUAGCGAAAUGCGAUACUUGGUGUGAAUUGCAGAAUCCCGUGAACCAUCGAGUCUUUUAACGCAAGUUGCGCCUCAAGCCAUUAGGUUGAGGGCACGUCUGCCUGGGCGUCACAUAUCGUUGCCUGAUGCCAGUUUCCUCGUGAUGGGUGACUGUGCAGGGCGAAUGAUGGCUUCCCGUGAGCAUUGUUGCCUCAUGGUUGGUUGAAAAUUGAGUCCUUGGUAGGGAGCGCCGUGAUAGAUGGUGGUUGAGUGACGAACGAGACCCAAUCAUGUGAGACCCCUACCGAAUUUGGCCUUCAUGACCCACAUGCGUCUUUGGAACGCUCAUGACGAGACCUCAGGUCAGGCGGGACUACCCGCUGAGUUUAAGCAUAUCAAUAAGCGGAGGA